GUGCUUGCUUCGGCAGCACAUAUACGAAAAUUGGAACGAAACAGAGAAGAUUAGCUUGGCCCUGCACAAGGACAACACACAAAUUCAUGAUGUGUUCUAUAUUAAA